rnacentral:rRNA from 1 species
UGGGGGAUAUUGCACAAUGGAGGAAACUCUGAUGCAGCAACGCCGCGUGAAGGAAGAAGGCCUUCGGUUGUAAACUUCUGUCCUUAGUGACGAUAAUGACGGUAGCUAAGGAGGAAGCCACGGCUAACUACGUGCCAGCAGCCGCGGUAAUACGUAGGUGGCAAGCGUUGUCCGGAAUUACUGGGUGUAAAGGGUGCGUAGGCGGCUCUUAAAGUCAGAUGUGAAAAUACCGCAGCUUAACUGCGGGGCUGCAUUUGAAACUUAGGAGCUUGAGUGAAGUAGAGGUAAGCGGAAUUCCUAGUGUAGCGGUGAAAUGCGUAGAUAUUAGGAGGAACACCAGUGGCGAAGGCGGCUUACUGGGCUUUAACUGACGCUGAGGCACGAAAGCGUGGGUAGCAAACAGGAUUAGAUACCCUGGUAGU